rnacentral:rRNA from 1 species
AGCAUGCCGCGGUGAAUACGUUCCCGGGCCUUGUACACACCGCCCGUCACACCAUGGGAGCCGGUAAUACCCGAAGUCAGUAGUCCAACCUCGUGAGGACGCUGCCGAAGGUAGGAUUGGCGACUGGGGUGAAGUCGUAACAAGGUAUC